rnacentral:lncRNA from 1 species
AUUUCCAAAAUCUUUUAUUUUGUCUUCUUUUUCUAGCUAGCUACCAUGCAUAAAUACUAUAAUAUCAAAACCUAAAUUAGUUUUGGGAACUUACCUCAGUGAUUGCAGAUCAAUCUCCUUCUUCUCCUCUUCUCUUAUAUUCUAUAGAGAUAGGUUUUUAGACCAAAUUUUAGCAAAUACAUAACUAUAUAUGGGGUAACUAUCUACCUCAUAAUAAAAAUUCCAACAAUUUAUAUUAAAUUUAAAAUAAUCUAAAAUUUUAUAAAAUAAAUAGAUGAUACUCUUGGAUCUGUAAUUAAAUAAUAAUUAAUUAUUUGUUUGAACUGGGUAUUACAACAGGGUGAUGCUCAUUACAAAUACUUUCUUAAUAGCAUCCAACCAUUAUCCUUCAAGAAAUUAGACUACUCUCUAAGACAACGAGAGUUCUGUCUGAAGAUCCCAAUCAUAGGCUGUCAGGGCAAAACUCCAACAAGUAGGUUCACACAUGCUUGAAGACUUUUAGUUGACAAACUUGUGACUCAAUCCCAAAGCAACAUAACAGUAAAUAGUAAAUGAUAAUGGUGCUUUUCAGGGAAAGUUAACUUCUUUUCUUCCGAAUUAUGUGAUAAAGAUUGGAUAAAAUGGGAUUUUUUAUUAGUCCUGCUAAUAUUAUUAACUAAUUUGAUUAGGAAUAUCUUCUUGUAUCAGUCCUUUGCAAAAGUUGUGAAGUUAAAAUGAGAGAAAUGUCUUCUUGGUUCUGGGGAGUGGUGGAGAAAAUUACAAGGAUCAUAAGGAAUUUUUUUGGUUGGAUAUGGGUGCGGCUUCAGAAGAUUACUUGGUGAGAUGGGAUGUGUUUUCUAGAAAAGAUGGGGGUAUGAAUAUUGAGAUUAUGAUGUGUAAGAAUCUUUUUUUAUUGGUCAAGUUAUCAUGGUACUUUACAAUAAGAAAAAAAAAAUGAUUAUGGUUCCUCAGAAAAUGAAAAGGUGGAAUGAGAAUGGUACCUUAAAAAAAGGGGCCAAAUGAUUAUGGUGCUUUUCUUUGGGAUCUUUUUCUUUGUGGCACUCUCCACCAUCACUUAUGUUUCCUCACCUUGUCCCUCAAGGGAAUUGGAGCAAAGAAGGAAAUUAGGGUGUUCAAGAGAUGCAUUUUUCUCUCUAGUUUAUGGGUGUUUUGUUUGCAGUGCAAUGCUAAAUUCUUCAAGGAUUGCUACCUUACCUUCAUCUUUUUCUAAAAGGGAAUUUUUUUU